AAAGGUCGAGGUAAUGAGAACAGAGAUUUGUAUGUCUAAAAAAUCCAUAUGACAUCAAAAUGUAAAUUAAAGGUUGGAUGGUAAACUUGAAUUUAUCUAUGGCAAAGAAGAAAGUUUAGAUUGUCCAUGUCAUGUUCUAGGCAAGAUGAAAUUGAAUUCCAUUAUCAUUUUAAAUCUUGAGAAAAAAGAUAAAUUAAGGAAGUUGAAUGGCAAUUAGAAGUUAGAUACAAG
rnacentral:lncRNA from 1 species